GAUAUAGUUCAGCUGGUAGAAUGCUUGCCUUGCAUGCAGAAUGUCCAGGAUUCAAUCCUUGGUACA
rnacentral:tRNA from 1 species